rnacentral:rRNA from 1 species
UACGGGGGGGGCAAGCGUUGUUCGGAAUUACUGGGCGUAAAGGGCUCGUAGGCGGCCAACUAAGUCAGGGGUGAAAUCCCGGGGCUCAACCUCGGAACUGCCUUUGAUACUGCAAAUCUCGAGUCCGGAAGAGGUGAGUGGAAUUCCUAGUGUAGAGGUGAAAUUCGUAGAUAUUAGGAAGAACACCAGUGGCGAAGGCGGCUCACUGGUCCGGUACUGACGCUGAGGUGCGAAAGCGUGGGGAGCAAACAGG